GACGAACGCUGGCGGCGUGCUUAACACAUGCAAGUCGAACGGAAAGGCCCUGCUUUUGUGGGGUGCUCGAGUGGCGAACGGGUGAGUAACACGUGAGUAACCUGCCCUUGACUUUGGGAUAACUUCAGGAAACUGGGGCUAAUACCGGAUAGGAGCUCCUGCUGCAUGGUGGGGGUUGGAAAGUUUCGGCGGUUGGGGAUGGACUCGCGGCUUAUCAGCUUGUUGGUGGGGUAGUGGCUUACCAAGGCUUUGACGGGUAGCCGGCCUGAGAGGGUGACCGGCCACCUUGGGACUGCGAUACGGCCCAGACUCCUACGGGAGGCAGCAGUCGGGAAUAUUGCACAAUGGGCGGAAGCCUGAUGCAGCAACGCCGCGUGCGGGAUGACGGCCUUCGGGUUGUAAACCGCUUUCGCCUGUGACGAAGCGUGAGUGACGGUAAUGGGUAAAGAAGCACCGGCUAACUACGUG
rnacentral:rRNA from 1 species